rnacentral:piRNA from 1 species
UAUGGUAUUUCUCCCUCUGUG